rnacentral:rRNA from 1 species
GGACUACCGGGGUAUCUAAUCCUGUUCGCUCCCCACGCUUUCGCUCCUCAGCGUCAGUAUCGGCCCAGAGACCCGCCUUCGCCACCGGUGUUCCUCCUGAUAUCUGCGCAUUUCACCGCUACACCAGGAAUUCCAGUCUCCCCUACCGAACUCAAGCCUGCCCGUAUCAGCUGCAAGCCCACAGUUGAGCUGCGGGUUUUCACAGCUGACGCAACAAGCCGCCUACGAGCUCUUUACGCCCAAUAAAUCCGGACAACGCUCGCGCCCUACGUCUUACCGCGGCUGCUGGCAC